rnacentral:rRNA from 1 species
AGUGAACGCUGGCGGUAGGCCUAACACAUGCAAGUCGAACGGCAGCACAGUAAGAGCUUGCUCUUACGGGUGGCGAGUGGCGGACGGGUGAGGAAUACAUCGGAAUCUACUUUUUCCGGGGGGGCUACGGGAGGGAAACUUACGCUAAUACCGCUUACGACCUCCGGGUGAAACCAGGGGAACUUCGGACUUUGCUCUCUUUAAUAGGCGGAUGUCGGAUUAGCUAGUUGGCGGGGUAAAGGCCCACCAAGGCGACGAUCCGUAGCUGGUCUGAGAGGAUGAUCAGCCACACUGGAACUGAGACACGGUCCAGACUCCUACGGGAGGCAGCAGUGGGGAAUAUUGGACAAUGGGCGCAAGCCUGAUCCAGCCAUACCGCGUGGGUGAAGAAGGCCUUCGGGUUGUAAAGCCCUUUUGUUGGGGAAGAAAAGCAGCAGGUUAAUACCCCGCUGUUCUGACGGUACCCAAAGAAUAAGCACCGGCUAACUUCGUG